GACGAACGCUGGCGGCGUGCUUAACACAUGCAAGUCGAACGGAAAGGCCCUGCUUUUGUGGGGUGCUCGAUUGGCGAACGGGUGAGUAACACGUGAGUAACCUGCCCUUGACUUUCGGAUAACUUCAGGAAACUGGAGCUAAUCCCGUAUAGGAUCUCCUGCUGCAUGGUGGGGGUUGGAAAGUUUCGGCGGUUGGGGAUGGACUCGCGGCUUAUCAGCUUGUUGGUUGGGUAGUGGCUUACCAAGGCUUUGGCGGGUAGCCGGCAUGAGAGGGUGACCGGCCACAUUGGGCCUGCGAUACGGCCCAGACGCCUACGGGAGGCAGCGGUGGGGAGUAUUGCACAACGGGCGGAAGCCUGAUGCAGCAACGCCGCGUGCGGGAUGACGGCCUUCGGGUUGUAAACCGCUUUCGCCUGUGACGAAGCGUGAGUGACGGUAAUGGGUAAAGAAGCACCGGCUAACUACGUG
rnacentral:rRNA from 1 species